rfam:Cyanobacteria bacterium 13_1_40CM_2_61_4 13_1_40cm_2_scaffold_108483, whole genome shotgun sequence.
CCUGGUGUGCUGCCACCAGUACCCUGCCAAGACAUGCGGCCAGGGCCACCGGGCGGUAUGAAGCUCUG